rnacentral:rRNA from 1 species
GGGAAUAUUGGACAAUGGGGGCAACCCUGAUCCAGCAAUGCCGCGUGUGUGAAGAAGGUCUUCGGAUUGUAAAGCACUUUCGACGGGGACGAUGAUGACGGUACCCGUAGAAGAAGCCCCGGCUAACUUCGUGCCAGCAGCCGCGGUAAUACGAAGGGGGCUAGCGUUGCUCGGAAUGACUGGGCGUAAAGGGCGUGUAGGCGGUUUACACAGUCAGAUGUGAAAUCCCCGGGCUUAACCUGGGAGCUGCAUUUGAUACGUGUAGACUAGAGUGUGAGAGAGGGUUUGUGGAAUUCCCAGUGUAGAGGUGAAAUUCGUAGAUAUU